rnacentral:tRNA from 1 species
UAAGUUUACUUUUAGUUUCGGCCUUAAUUUGUGAGUUUAAAACAUUUAAUUGUUAAUUAAAAAUUUUA